rnacentral:rRNA from 1 species
CCUACGGGAGGCAGCAGUGGGGAAUUUUGGACAAUGGGCGAAAGCCUGAUCCAGCAAUGCCGCGUGAGUGAAGAAGGCCUUCGGGUUGUAAAGCUCUUUUGUCAGGGAAGAAACGGUGAAAGCUAAUAUCUUUUGCUAAUGACGGUACCUGAAGAAUAAGCACCGGCUAACUACGUGCCAGCAGCCGCGGUAAUACGUAGGGUGCAAGCGUUAAUCGGAAUUACUGGGCGUAAAGCGUGCGCAGGCGGUUUUGUAAGUCUGAUGUGAAAUCCCCGGGCUCAACCUGGGAAUUGCAUUGGAGACUGCAAGGCUAGAAUCUGGCAGAGGGGGGUAGAAUUCCACGUGUAGCAGUGAAAUGCGUAGAUAUGUGGAGGAACACCGAUGGCGAAGGCAGCCCCCUGGGUCAAGAUUGACGCUCAUGCACGAAAGCGUGGGGAGCAAACAGGAUUAGAUACCCUGGUAGUCCACGCCCUAAACGAUGUCUACUAGUUGUCGGGUCUUAAUUGACUUGGUAACGCAGCUAACGCGUGAAGUGACCGCCUGGGGAGUCGGUCGCAAGNUUAAAACNCAAAGGAUUGACCGGNUGAGAGNGCGACGACGACGACGAGGGAGGAGG